rnacentral:rRNA from 1 species
UACGAAGGGGGCUAGCGUUGCUCGGAAUUACUGGGCGUAAAGGGCGCGUAGGCGGACAGUUUAGUCAGAGGUGAAAGCCCAGGGCUCAACCUUGGAAUUGCCUUUGAUACUGACUGUCUUGAGUACGGGAGAGGUGAGUGGAACUCCGAGUGUAGAGGUGAAAUUCGUAGAUAUUCGGAAGAACACCAGUGGCGAAGGCGACUCACUGGCCCGUUACUGACGCUGAGGCGCGAAAGCGUGGGGAGCGAACAGG